CCUACGGGUGGCAGCAGUGAGGAAUAUUGGUCAAUGGUCGCGAGACUGAACCAGCCAAGCCGCGUGCAGGAUGAAGGUUCUGUGUGUUGUAAACUGCUUUUGUCAGAGGGUAAAGCCCGAUACGCGUCCCCGGUUGAGUGUACCUUACGAAUAAGCAUCGGCUAACUCCGUGCCAGCAGCCGCGGUAAUACGGAGGAUCCGAGCGUUAUCCGGAUUUAUUGGGUUUAAAGGGUGCGGAGGCGGUUUGUUAAGUUAGGGGUCAAAGGCCGGGGCUCAACCCCGACACGGCCUUUAAUACUGGUAGACUCGAGUAGGAGUGAGGUAGGCGGAAUGUGCGGUGUAGCGGUGAAAUGCUUAGAUAUCACACAGAACACCGAUUGCGAAGGCAGCAUGCCAGACUAAAACUGACGCUGAGGCACGAAAGCGUGGGUAGCAAACAGGAUUAGAUACCCGUGUAGUC
rnacentral:rRNA from 1 species